AUACGUAGGUGGCAAGCGUUGUCCGGAAUUAUUGGGCGUAAAGCGCGCGCAGGCGGAUUGGUCAGUCUGUCUUAAAAGUUCGGGGCUUAACCCCGUGAUGGGAUGGAAACUGCCAAUCUAGAGUAUCGGAGAGGAAAGUGGAAUUCCUAGUGUAGCGGUGAAAUGCGUAGAUAUUAGGAAGAACACCAGUGGCGAAGGCGACUUUCUGGACGAAAACUGACGCUGAGGCGCGAAAGCCAGGGGAGCGAACGGGAUUAGAUACCCCGGUAGUCCUGGCCGUAAACGAUGGGUACUAGGUGUAGGAGGUAUCGACCCCUUCUGUGCCGGAGUUAACGCAAUAAGUACCCCGCCUGGGGAGUACGACCGCAAGGUUGAAACUCAAAGGAAUUGACGGGGGCCCGCACAAGCGGAGGAACAUGUGGUUUAAUUCGAUGAUACGCGAGGAACCUUACCCGGGCUUGAA
rnacentral:rRNA from 1 species